UACGUAGGGUGCAAGCGUUGUCCGGAAUUAUUGGGCGUAAAGAGCUCGUAGGCGGUUUGUCGCGUCGUCCGUGAAAACCCGUGGCUCAACCGCGGGCUGGCGGUCGAUACGGGCAGGCUGGAGUUCGGAAGGGGAGACUGGAAUUCCUGGUGUAGCGGUGAAAUGCGCAGAUAUCAGGAGGAACACCGGUGGCGAAGGCGGGUCUCUGGGCCGAUACUGACGCUGAGGAGCGAAAGCGUGGGGAGCGAACAGG
rnacentral:rRNA from 1 species